GGCUACGUAGCUCAGCGGUUAGAGCGCACGCUUCAUAAGCGUGAUGUCGCUGGUCCGAUCCCAGCCGUAGCCA
rnacentral:tRNA from 2 species